GAAAGAGGACCUCUAGUGGAUACCAGGGAACAUAAACCAGACACUGUGACACAUAAUGCAGGUUUGCUCUGGUAACUGAAGUGUUACUUUUUCCUUUUGUUCUUUUUGGAUAGUUACCAGGGGGCUAAGCAGAUGUUGAAACUGUGUCUGCUUCUGUGACCUGAGAGAAUAGCGCUUUUUAGAGGCCAUUGUGAGCCCAGGGGCAGGAUGUGGCUUUAACUCCUGCAGGUAAACGAAGCGGUAAAAGUGUAGUGAGCUUUUUGUGCGCAGACUCUUAGGACAUUAAUGUUCUUUGUAUGUAGAAAAGUAAUUGCAUACCUUGUAAGGAAUCCGUUCUGUAAUGGGACUGCCCCCUAACGCUUAACCAAGCCAUAUAAAAGCUUAUGUUUCCUGUUUCUCUGGGCUGCAACUUUUUGGGGUGAAGACUUUACACGCUUUUCUUUUAUUUUUCUCUUUUUGAAUUUAUUAUCUUUGUAUCAUUCUGAAAAUUUUGAGUUAAACGUAACCAUUUGUUUGGUGAUUCAAUAACCUUUUUGAAAAGUCUCAGAGAGAUUUUUUCCUAGAAAUAUCUUUAUUUGAAAUUGGAUAUUUUAUAAGCAAAAGGCCCCUGUGAGACGAAUCCAGGAUUGAGGUAGAGCGGACACCGCCGAGGACUCUGAUACAGCUUUCAACACCACUAACCAUCAGGGGAUCUGUUCACCAUAUAAAAAGAAACUGUGAACCAGACUACAGACGACAAGAGACAGGAUCAUCAUGCCGGGGGUUAAGGAUUUCGCCAUCAAAAUACUGAAAUACCUGAAAAAUUCAUCUCUUUUCCAAUCUCUUCCAUUAAACAUUUUCUCAAUCGGAUUGGAGGCCUUGAUGGAUCAUCUCUUCUCAUGCCCUUGCGACAAAUCUGUGAAUAAAUGGUUUACUUCGGGCAUAUUCAUUGGACCUGCUUUUUUUACUUUUUGUUUAAUGUUCCUCUUUUUAAGGCCUUUUAAAUAUAAAUGGUUUCAUUGCCCAGAUGGAGAGGAUGAUGAAACUCUGAAGAACUGGCCUAAAACUUUCAUAACUUGUCUGAUUCCACCUGUAAUGUGGAUCUUCAUCUUGUUUCUUGAUGGAGAUUAUGUUGCUUGUGGAAAUGCAGCCUGUGAUGGAUCUUAUGUUUUUGAUGAGGAGCUAAAAAUAUCGUGGUGUAAACCCAUUUCUGAAGAUAAUAUCCGGUCCUGCAGGAACUCUCAUGGAAAUAUACAAGACACACUUAUUCAUUUGCAUUGGUCUAAGGUUUACGGUUAUAUCGUGAUUUCUCUCUUCAGUGUCUUGGCAGUUGUCACAGUUGGUAUUCAUGACUGUUGCACAUCUGGAAAAUUGGACUGUUGCUGCUCAAGUCGCUGUUUAUGCUUUUGGGGUCGUAGACGUCAUGCGUCACAGUCUUCGUCUGCACCUGUCUGUAUUCGUCUUCAAUACACUUCCCAGGAUUCCGCUCGUCUCCUCACCUGAACUCACUCAUCAGCCACCUGUUUCUUGUUAAUCAUCAUCUGUCUCACCUGUCUUCCCCUCGUUAUUGUUCAUCACUCUCUGCAUUUAGUUUGCUUCAGUUCAUUAAGUCCUUGCCGGUUGUCGUCAAUGUAUGGUUGAGUGUGUUUGUCCUGGAGAGUUUGUGUUUGUUCCUGUGAGUUGAGUUUUAUAAUAAAUGAACUAUAUUGCAGUUAUCAUUUCCUCGUCUUCGGCAUCCUACACGAACCCUGACAUUAUGCUCCCAACCGUCUAGUCCAACAGGGAUCCACAGUGGAGGUGAUAGUGGACGGCAGGACAUAGAGCUUACUGAUCGCUAGUGGUGGGCAGAUCGAGGCUUUGUGGAGCAAUGAAACCGUUGAAGCAAAUGUGCCAUAUUGUUUCGAGGCUUCGAAUCAAUCCGACACCAGUCUCACAGUGACACCUAGUUGUCACUUCCAGGUGUUGCUCUGAAACAACCUUUACAACGGGCCAUUCAAAAAUUUGUUUUUUUUUAUUAUUGUUUUUUUUUUAUUAUUAUUAUAAUAUCUGUAUAUUUUAUUUUUCUAAUAUAUGAAGCUUGUGACCUGUAGUCUCUUCACAUUGCACAUUGCAUCUUUAUAAAAGAAAUCAAGCCAAAAUGUCUCACUUUCUUAUAGAUUUUUACUCAAAAAUAUUAAUUUCUCUGCUGUCGAAGGACUCAGCCUGCUUACUUUUUUACAGAUAAUUUCUCCAGCCUUUGAAAAAAUUUGCUCACAAGCAACACUUAUUGCUGCCAUGCAAAGAUAUUUUUUAGCAAAGACAUACAAAUGAGGAAAGAUUACUGCUUUCAGUAAGUUAGUGACGUUGAACUAAUGCUCCGUGCUCGUACCAUGAUAAUGUUACAUUGACCGCAUUCAGCCGAUGUGUAAUGUUUUUAUAUCGAAAACAAAGCGGAGGUCUCUCCAUAAUUCAAAAGCUCUGCCGAUGUUGAUCCGUGUUUUCGUCCUGAGUCGUUCAGAAUCUCGUUUUGCUUGAUGAGCUUCAGCAGAUAAAAGUUUUUUUGGAGUUUAAUUGUCUUGGAGUGUGUGUUGUGCUGGAGGCAGGUCGUUUUGGGGGGUUAUCAGACUCAUGUUGUCUGCAGUGCCGUCACAUAGACUGUAUUAAAAAAAGGAGAUAAGCUUGGAAGCGCGCAUGCACGUCACAUCCGAUGGAUUUUGCAGAAAAUCCGACCCGGAGACUUCACAAAUAAAUAUGAAUAUAUUGGCCUUCAGAGGUAAUAGCAAAACCUGACAAGUGGAUCGUUGCAAAGUGUGAUUACAACCCCUUCACACACAGGCAAUAAAAAAAGGAUUUGUUUUAGAAGAAAAGUUCCAUAUAGCACCUUUAAAUGAGCAUGAUCUCGAGUGUGAUCGUAAUAUCCAUGUUAUGAUGCAAUCGUUCGCCUAAUUUUACAAAAAACUGCUUCUACGGGGCCAUAACGUAAGAUACAAAGUAAUGGAGCAUUUUAGACAUUGUCAUGUUUCUUUAGAGAUAAAAAAUGGACAAAUGGAGUAUUUAAACGCCUCAGAUGUAAAGUUAUCCGUUGUCAAAGUGACUCUAAAAUGAAUGGGAGUGAAUGGAAUGCUAACAGCAGGUGAUGGUCAGUACUGUAACUGUCUAAGGACAUGUAUUUUGUUGAGCUGUGUAUUUGUUUUUGUUUUUAUAAAUUGAUGUAAAUUUGAGUUCAUUUAAAAACAAUUGUGAUGUUCAGAAGCGGAUAUUUGUAGGUAAAAUGCCUUCGAGGUGUUUAAAGUUAGGGGUUCUUCAAGGAGGAUUUACGUAGGAAACGUGAUGUCACAUGACAUGACCCCGUUCAGUUUUGAGCGGUUCUGCGUCAUUUUGGGUCAGAACGAACAUGGAUGCAGAGAAACGACAUGUAGUCUGAAAAGAAUUGCUUAAUCUGCAUGUUUUGAGAGGCGCACACGGUAAUUUACCUUUGUAUAUAUUUCAUAAUGUUUAUAAUGUUGUUUUAUAUUAUUUUACGUGCAAGAUGUGAUGUGCUUUUCAUGAUGCUUUUAUAUAUUUCUUUUGUGAUUCACUUUCAUAUCAUGGGACAUUCAUUGGCACGAGAAACUUGUAAAGGACUGAGAAAUGCAUAUUUUGAAUAUAUGUUUUAUUUAUUUAUUUUUUUUCACGGUGUCUAUGGUGUCAACUGAGAAGAGAGAAAAAGAGAUAUGUACAAAAUAAACGACAAAAGACAUCUA